CUAGAUUUAGCACAUACAAAAGACGUUUGGAUAGUGUUAGGAGUUCGACAGCGUAAAUACGCUACUGCGCAAUACCCUUGUUGGGAUGCAUCACAGAACAAAUGAAGUUGAAUAGACUGGGUUUGAAGAGGGAUCAUUAAGCGAGUUAUAUGAAAUGGAGGAGGUUCAUCCCAGGAAAUUUUCAGCUGCUAUAAUUGUUGCAUGAACACCUUUGCUUUGAAAGUGCAAGGUGUUAGGAAACCUAAUGGAUCAUAAAUCCGAGCAAUUUCCGAAAGGAUUGAACGUUUAGAACAGUGAUUUGGACGGGAAGAGUAGGAAUAAUUGAAUUGAUCCAUGGUUGGAUCCCACCGCUGACCCAAAACUUUGACGUAGUUGAGUUCAUUGGCGGAAGCCAAAAUCGAUUGGCUUCUGUAAAUGUGUUUCCGAUACUGCUUGUAAUAGUUGUAAAACCUCGUCGAUCGACGGUGCUCCCGCCACAAUAUCAUCCACAUAGAUGUGAUUUUUCAACGCGGUUGCUGCUCUUGGAUAUUCAUCGGAGUGAAGAUUGGCGAGUUCUAGAGGGGAACGUAAUGCCAGAAAAGGAGACGAGGCUAUUCCAUACGUGACUGUAUUUAAUGCGUAUUCUUGAAUUGGUUCAGUCGGGGUGAAACGCCAAAGGAUACGUUGGUAGUCACGGUCAACAGGUGAUAUCAAAAUCUGUCGAUACAUCUGUUUUAUGUCGCAGAUGAACGCAAAAUUAAAAUAGCGAAAAGACAAUAAGGUCUUAAUAAUAUCUUGCUGUAGCUUGGGUCCUAUCAACAAUGUGUCAUUAAGUGAUUGACCGUUGGAUGUGGUCGCCGAAGCAUCAAAAACCACUCGCAGUUUGGUGGAGGAGCUGGUGGAACGGAGAAUACAAUGAUGCGGGAUAUAAUAAGUGGCAGAAGGUAAAGGUUCCGAAGAAGAGAUAAGGGACAUAUGAUUAAGCUGAAGAUAGUCUUUCAUAAACUUGACAUACUCGAGACGUAACGUUGAAUUGUGCAACAAUCUCUUUUCAAGAGAAAUAAAACGCUUCUGCAUUUUGGUAAGAGCUUCCCAAGAGUGGAGUUUUUUUUUU